rnacentral:rRNA from 1 species
UAGUCCACGCCGUAAACAAUGAGCACUAGUUAUAGCGGGUAUUAACCCCUGCUGUGACGUAGCUAACGCAUUAAGUGCUCCGCCUGGGGAGUACGGUCGCAAGAUUAAAACUCAAAGGAAUUGACGGGGGCCCGCACAAGCGGUGGAGUAUGUGGUUUAAUUCGAAGCAACGCGCAGAACCUUACCUACCCUUAACAUUUCACGCUCGCCUCAGAGAUGAGGUUUUCUCUUCGGAGACGUGAGGAUAGGUGCUGCAUGGCUGUCGUCAGCUCGUGUCGUAAGAUGUCUGGUUAAGUCCAAUAACGAGCGCAACCCUUAUCCUUAGUUACCAGCAUUGAGUUGGGGACUCUAGGGAGACUGCCGGUGUUAAACCGGAGGAAGGCGGGGAUGACGUCAAGUCCUCAUGGCCCUUACGGGUAGGGCUACACACGUACUACAAUGGCAGAAACAAACCGAAGCGAUAUUGCGAGAUGGAGCUAAACGGUAAAACACUGUCUCAGUCCGGAUUGAAGUCUGUAA